CACACGCACACACACGCACGCCCACGCAUGUGCGUACGUACACACACGGGUAUUCACACAUGCACACGUGCGCGCAUACAACUACACGCGCGCACACACGUACACACACACACCCACCUACACACUCACCAAACACACACACACACCAAACGCACACACACACACACACACACACACACACACACACACACACACACACACACACACACACACACACACACACACACAAAGAGACUGUACCCAAGCACAUACAAAUCCGUUCUCACGCUGUGUACGAGCCAGAAGGAUCCACACGCAUCUGAAUACACAUUUCCCCUUUUUCUGUUUAUACCUCAAUCAAGAAUCAUGCAAUCCGACUCCACACAUGGCUGCAACGCACUGGAUAGGACUAGUGGGUUAGAAUGAGACCAGGACUAGUGGGUUAGAGUGAGACCAGGACUAGUGGGUUAGAGUGAGACCAGGACUAGUGGGUUAGAGUGAGACCAGGACUAGUGGGUUAGAGUGAGACCAGGACUAGUGGGUUAGAGUGAGACCAGGACUAGUGGGUUAGAGUGAGACCAGGACUAGUGGGUUAGAGUGAGACCAGGACUAGUGGGUUAGAGUGAGACCAGGACUAGUGGGUUAGAAUGAGACCAGGACUAGUGGGUUAGAGUGAGACCAGGACUAGUGGGUUAGAGUGAGACCAGGACUAGUGGGUUAGGAUGAGACCAGGACUAGGGGGUUAGAGUGAGACCAGGACUAGUGGGUUAGAGUGAGACCAGGACUAGUGGGUUAGGAUGAGACCAGGACUAGUGGGUUAGAGUGAGACCAGGACUAGUGGGUUAGGAUGAGACCAGGACUAGUGGGUUAGGAUGAGACCAGGACUCGUGGGUUAGAGUGAGACCAGGACUAGUGGGUUAGGAUGAGACCAGGACUAGUGGGUUAGAGUGAGACCAGGACUAGUGGGUUAGAGUGAGACCAGGACUAGUGGGUUAGAAUGAGACCAGGACUAGUGGGUUAGAGUGAGACCAGGACUAGUGGGUUAGAGUGAGACCAGGACUAGUGGGUUAGAGUGAGACCAGGGGUUUAGAGUGAGACCAGGUGGGCCGGUCCCAUGCAGCUCUCAUUAUCAGAGUCUAGGCGGUAUAUCUCAGAUGAAACACCAAUCAGAGGGGAAAUCUACACGGGAUGAAUAGUAAGGGGUCAUCCACACAGGUUAGUGUGUGUGUGUGUGUGUGUGUGUGUGUGCGUGUGUGUGUGUGUGUUAGGCAUGUGUGUGCUUGCGUGUGUGUUAGACAUACAUGUGUGUGUGUGUGUGUGAGCAGACAGGCGGACCAGACAGCAGGCCUUCACACCCGCCACAUGAGCCUGGGCCGGUUGCUAUGACACCGUUGCCCCCUCAGUCCGAUGACUCCCUGGUGGCCAAUCUGCAUACCAGCUGGAAUCCAGCUGGAACACACACAUAAGCACAUAAACACACGCAUAAGCAGCACACAAACACGAGUAUAGGCACACAAACAACCACAUAAGCACCCACCCACAUACACUAACCCCUUUUUAUAUACAGUCAGUGUCGACGGAUAGACGGUCGUGUGCGUUUGAACCUGUCACAUCAUUUAGGAGUGUGCCCGAUGUUGCGACACACAACGUCGCCACAUGAUGCAAGAAUACAAACCAUUUCACAUGAAUGCCGUGUGAUUCACAUGUGACAACCCGGGGGCAUUCACAGAUUGAGAAUUGAAAGACUCGGCGUGCUCCUACAUUUACAUUCAAUGCAUUUAGCGGACGCUUUAUCCUAAGCGACUUACCAUAAUUACAUUUGUCAGAAGAAAGAGAAACAACCAUAUAUCACUGUCGGAACAGUAAGGCUGUCCAAUAGAACGUGCCAUUUACAAUUGCAAUGGUCAACCCAUUCCACGUAUACAACAAGGAUAGCUAGGAGGAUAAGAUGCUGCUGCACGACGCUAAGUACUGUUUUUAAGUGCCAGGGCAUACAACACACACAGACGCAUCAGUGGACAGACUUCAUACGGACAAUAAAAGUCAAGUCAACAGGAGCGUUUUACUGCAUGCACUUGUAACGUUGGUUAGUGUGAACGACCUGUUCGAUCCAUUUGAACACGGAAACGUCUCAAACGUGCAAGCUUUGCUUCGGACCCCUAGACGCACAGAGAUCUGAUUGGCUUAAUGGCGUGUGUCACCAUAGCGUGCCGCUGAGCCAUCAACCCUGUGUGGGUCCGUGGGCGAGGAGGAGAGGGGGGAUGGUGAUACUAAUAAGGUCGAGUAACUGCCGCUCUUAAUGCUCUAAAGAUUGACGAUGGAUGCAUCCAAACGUCCAACUUCCUGCACCUCCGGUUUUUGGGAUGCAUCCCAUCCAGUUCACACACCCUGCUCUGGCAUUGUGUGGGCAACUGCCGCCGCCUGUCUGCCUGGGGCAUGUUGUGGUCUGACCGGUUGUUUAGGGCCCAACUUCACCACCUCCGAUGCCAGGUAUGUACGGCUGGCCCAUCCAGACCACGCCUGCCUAAAGACAUUGUCGGGAUCCGUGCUGCCGCGGCGAUCAUCUCUGCUCCUCAAAUUCAGGUUCAGUGCUUCAUGUUGAACCCGGGAGCUUGGUUAAGACGGAACCCUUUUGAGGUCAAAUCACCACGUACUGGUUUUGUCAAAGCUCUUGAGAACAUGAAAUGAUACCACCAGGUUGGCCUAUAGACACUUUCUAUUCACUGGAACGUUAGGAUAUUGCAGAAAUCCUUCAUGUGUCACAACUGAUCAGAUGCAAGAUCAGAUGCAAGUGUCGCAUGCAAGGCGUCGGCGGUGGCGUCUUUUUCAUCCCAGAAUGAAUUAUUCCACUGAUUCAAACGGUUCGGGGGCCACUGAGAUGUCCACGCAUUUGGUGGACGAUGAGGCUGGCACUAUGUAUCCGCAUCUCGCUGUUCGCUGAAGGGAGCGUCACCCCCAUGUGACACCCCUGAUCACAGCCUGGGAGCCACACCCACUGCCUCCACCAUCUGACCCGGAGAGGAGCCAAGACGUCUGUGCAUGUUUUGCAUGCCUGGUCCCCGGAGAGAUCUGAGGGAGGAGGCCCCGGUCGCACUGUGGCCUGCCACCAACACACACAAAACACAACGCACAACGCACAACGCACACACACACACACAGCCUAACAGAUCUUUUUGGUCUUCUGUGAAUGCAGCUGUGCAUGAUGGCAUGUUCCUAACAUUUGUGUGCUACCACUAAUCUGUUAACCCUCCCUUCCCCGCUGCCCCUUCCUCCCUCCCCCCCCCCCCCCCCCCCCCGCCCUGCCUCACCCUGGCCACACAUGCACCAACCAACACACACACACACACACACACACACCAACACGUCACCUCCGACCCCGCUCUCUGCCACCAUACCACUCACCCACCCGCAAACACAUUCACACACAAUGUGAAAAUCCACACUGAUUCAAACUCUUGUACCACAUUCUGAUUCACCCGCCCACAUACACAUCAACACCCUGCCCCCCCCCCCCCCCCCUCUCUCACA